UUUCCGUAGGUGAACCUGCGGAAGGAUCAUUAUUGUAUAAUCGAGGUGCGAGGGCCGUCGCUGACCCGACAGGUCGUGCACGCCCGAGUGCCCUCACACACAUCCAUUUCACCCCUAUGUGCACCACCGCGUGGGUCCCCCUUUGGCUUGUUCGUAGGGGGGCUUACGUUUUCACACAAACUUUGUAUGCAGUGUAGAAUGUAUUUUUUGUUUUUGCGAUCACGCAAUCAAUACAACUUUCAACAACGGAUCUCUUGGCUCUC
rnacentral:misc_RNA from 1 species